rnacentral:lncRNA from 1 species
GCCAAAGAUCACGCCCACGUGCAAGGAUGCUCGGCGGGAGGCUGGGCUUCUAGCGUCCGGGCCGGUCCUCCCAGCUGCGGCCGCAGGCCCACGCCCCGUCCUUGCCCACACCUCCGCCCGCCGACCCAGGACACGUCUUUCCUCCGCUCCCUCGGGAUUUCAGGUCUCCCUAUACUAAUCUGAAGUUUAAUGGGCUCGUGGUUCCCCUACUCCCAAGUGGAGGAAGAACUUUCCUGUCCACACUUUGACUUCUGCAGUGACCUUCAGAUUCCAACAGCUAUAUCCCAUCUCUGCUGCGACCUAGCGGUGCACUGUUGUAGGUGAAAACAGAAAUCCAGGAGCAGGAGGGGACAUGACACUAUUCAUAGGUGGCCUCCCCCAAACUCCAACACUGCAAGAGCCCAGGUGACUGCACAGAGUGGGGCAGAGGAAGCUGUGCACAGCCUGCACCCCGGGUCCCGCCAGGGAGAUUGACACCUGCGACUUUGCUUGCGACCUGCUGUCCUCUCAACUCCUGGAUGGAACCGCAGCUGCGUUUGACCAGACUUUCAGGAAAGAUAAACCUGCCAUUGGGCAGCCACACCCACCGGCCUGCACACCCACACUCACACUCGGUGUCCAGCCCUCUCUGUUUUCUCCCAGUGUGGUGGUGAAUUUCUAAAACCUGGAUGAAUGUUUCCAAAACUUGCCCCAUGGGGAAUUUGUUAAAAAAUACAGAUUCCCAGGGCCUCUCCCACCCAGUCUGAUUUAGUAGGUUGGCGGGGUGGUGUUAAGAAGUUGUCACUUUAACAAGAUCACAGGUAGUUCUUGUGAUUGGGUAAAUUUUGCAGGUGUGGCCCAGGGUUUCUCCAACUACAGCAGGUAUCUGAGUCAGCCCGUGGGCUUGUGGAGAAAGGAGUGCUGACUUAUUUUAUUUUAUUUUAUUUUAUUUUAUUUUAUUUUAUUUUAUUUUAUUUUAUUUUAUUUUACUUUUUGAGUGCUGACCUUCUUAGCUGGGCCUGAGAAUUUGCAUUUCCAACAAACUCCCAGGUGACGUGGAUGCUGCUGGUGUGGGAGCGGUGGGUUGAGAGCCUGUUGAGAGUCUGUGUGUAAACAGACCCUGGAGCCAGGCUGAAGCUGUUUAAACCUCAGGGUCAUGGUUUGUAAUACGGGUUUGGUCAUAAUAUUUACUAGCUAAGGGGUGUUAUGAGGAUUAACUGAGUUAUGUUCGUAAAGCUCUUAGAGCAGUGUGUGGCACAUGGUAAAUUAGUUAUUAUGUAAGUGUUUGUUAAACAGAUAAAAUGCUAGACUAGGUUGUAGGUGUCGAUUUAUUCAUGCACUUAUUGAAUACUAAAUGACACGUAUCCUGCUGCUGGAACCCUCAUGAGAAUGGGACCUUGUGGGGGUGCAAGAGGCUGACCCAGUCCCAUCUCAUUCUGAUCAAGAGAGGCAGACUUUCUGGUUACAGCUGAUGCAUUCUUCCAGCGUGCUACUUAUCUCCCCAGACCUUAAAAACAUAAUGUGAUCAACAUCAGGACCCUGUCCUACAGUCCUAGCACCCUGGACUUGUCUUCCUGGUGCCCAUCCCAAUCCUUAACCACACAUUCAUCUGUGUGAUGGUGUAACAACUAGUUCCUCGCGGAUAGCGUGCCUGGUUAGGACAGGCUUUGUUUCUGUGGCUUGUCCCUGCUGAGUCCUCAACACACAGGGCAGGGCCUGGUGCAUUAUAGCUGCUCAGUAAACUUGUUGAAUGGAUGGAUGGAUGGAUGGAUGGAUGGACGGACAAGUGGAUGGAUGAUACACAAUGGUCCCUCACCAGCCUCUUCCCAGGUGGCUAGAGCAGUCAGGCUUUCCCACCUCCAUUCUUGAUCACUUUAACCCUUUUUUUCCACUGCACCUGCAAAGGUAUUUCUAAAAUCUGGGUCUGAUCUGCCCAUUUCCCUGUUUGAAACUUCUCCUGUGGAACUCUUAUAAUAAUUUACUUCUUUGGGCCAUGUAUAGACUAAACUCCACGGCUUAUGAAUGAAUGCAUGUCUCCAUUUACAAAUAAUCAAAGCCACAUACUGCCAAACAGACCUGUUGAUUAGCAGGAGAUAAGAAGUACUAAUAAAAUUUCAGCUCAAAAGAAAGAAA